UCCAGUAUGGUGUAACGGCUAACAUUGUCGCCUUUCAAGUUAUUACGUGAUCAAUACGUACAUAACGUUCGCGACGGCUCAGGGUUCGAUUCCCUGUACUGGAG
rnacentral:tRNA from 1 species